CCGCUAUCGGGGUAGGGCUAAGCCAUGGGAGUCGUACGCCCCGCCGCCGCGGGGCGUGGCGGACGGCUGAGUAACACGUGGCUAACCUACCCUCGGGAGGGGGAUAACACCGGGAAACUGGUGCUAAUCCCCCAUAGGGGAGGAGGCCUGGAAGGGUCCCUCCCCGAAAGGGUGCGGCAGGGGUUAUCGCUGCCGCACCGCCCGAGGAUGGGGCUGCGGCCCAUCAGGUAGUUGGCGGGGUAACGGCCCGCCAAGCCUAUAACGGGUAGGGGCCGUGAGAGCGGGAGCCCCCAGUUGGGCACUGAGACAAGGGCCCAGGCCCUACGGGGCGCACCAGGCGCGAAAACUCCGCAAUGCGGGAAACCGUGACGGGGCUACCCCGAGUGCCCCCGAUAAGGGGGCUGUUCCCCGCUGUAAGGAGGCGGGGGUAGUAAGCGGGGGGCAAGACCGGUGUCAGCCGCCGCGGUAAUACCAGC
rnacentral:rRNA from 1 species